rnacentral:rRNA from 1 species
ACUUGCUGCUUUGCUGACGAGUGGCGGACGGGUGAGUAAUGUCUGGGAAACUGCCCGAUGGAGGGGGAUAACUACUGGAAACGGUAGCUAAUACCGCAUAACGUCGCAAGACCAAAGAGGGGGACCUUAGGGCCUCUUGCCAUCGGAUGUGCCCAGAUGGGAUUAGCUAGUAGGUGGGGUAAAGGCUCACCUAGGCGACGAUCCCUAGCUGGUCUGAGAGGAUGACCAGCCACACUGGAACUGAGACACGGUCCAGACUCCUACGGGAGGCAGCAGUGGGGAAUAUUGCACAAUGGGCGCAAGCCUGAUGCAGCCAUGCCGCGUGUAUGAAGAAGGCCUUCGGGUUGUAAAGUACUUUCAGCGGGGAGGAAGGGAGUAAAGUUAAUACCUUUGCUCAUUGACGUUACCCGCAGAAGAAGCACCGGCUAACUCCGUGCCAGCAGCCGCGGUAAUACGGAGGGUGCAAGCGUUAAUCGGAAUUACUGGGCGUAAAGCGCACGCAGGCGGUUUGUUAAGUCAGAUGUGAAAUCCCCGGGCUCAACCUGGGAACUGCAUCUGAUACUGGCAAGCUUGAGUCUCGUAGAGGGGGGUAGAAUUCCAGGUGUAGCGGUGAAAUGCGUAGAGAUCUGGAGGAAUACCGGUGGCGAAGGCGGCCCCCUGGACGAAGACUGACGCUCAGGUGCGAAAGCGUGGGGAGCAAACAG